rnacentral:pre_miRNA from 1 species
GGUUUAUGAAGCAGUGUGGUAUAGACCAGGGCUGUCCAACCUGCGGCCCCCCAGAUGUUGCUGAACUACAACUCUCAUGAUUCCCUGGCUAUCUUUUUAAUUGAAAGAAUCAUGGGAGUUGUAGUUCAGCAACAUCUGGGGGGCCGCAGGUUGGACAGCCCUGGUAUAGACCAUGCUCCUGUAGUCU